rnacentral:rRNA from 1 species
CCUACGGGGGGCUGCAGUGAGGAAUAUUGAGCAAUGGGCGCAAGCCUGACUCAGCAACGCCGCGUGGACGAUGACGGCCUUCGGGUUGUAAAGUCCUUUUCUGAGGGACGAUGAUGACGGUACCUCAGGAACAAGUCCCGGCUAACUACGUGCCAGCAGCCGCGGUAAAACGUAGGGGGCGGGCGUUAUCCGGAUUUACUGGGCGUAAAGCGCAUGUAGGCGGUUGGGAAAGUUGGACGUAAAAGCUCCUGGCUUAACUGGGAGAGGUCGUACAAAACUACCCGACUUGAGGUUGGAAGAGGAGAGUGGAAUUCCCGGUGUAGUGGUGGAAUGCGUAGAUAUCGGGAGGAACACCAGUGGCGAAAGCGGCUCUCUGGACCAAUACUGACGCUGAGAUGCGAAAGCGUGGGGAGCAAACGGGAUUAGAUACCCCAGUAGUC